rnacentral:hammerhead_ribozyme from 1 species
AUCUAGCUGAUGAGUCCCAAAUAGGACGAAACGCUCGUCCUGGAU